GACGAACGCUGGCGGCGUGCCUAAUACAUGCAAGUUGAGCGCUGAAGGUUGGUACUUGUACCAACUGGAUGAGCAGCGAACGGGUGAGUAACGCGUGGGGAAUCUGCCUUUGAGCGGGGGACAACAUUUGGAAACGAAUGCUAAUACCGCAUAAAAACUUUAAACACAAGUUUUAAGUUUGAAAGAUGCAAUUGCAUCACUCAAAGAUGAUCCCGCGUUGUAUUAGCUAGUUGGUGAGGUAAAGGCUCACCAAGGCGAUGAUACAUAGCCGACCUGAGAGGGUGAUCGGCCACAUUGGGACUGAGACACGGCCCAAACUCCUACGGGAGGCGGCAGUAGGGAAUCUUCGGCAAUAGACGAAAGUCUGACCGAGCAACGCCGCGUGAGUGAAGAAGGUUUUCGGAUCGUAAAACUCUGUUGGUAGAGAAGAACGUUGGUGAGAGUGGAAAGCUCAUCAAGUGACGGUAACUACCCAGAAAGGGACGGCUAACUACGUG
rnacentral:rRNA from 1 species